UGAUAAUCCAGGCUGCUCUACGGUGAAUUCUAGUUGACAAAUUGCGCUUAAAAGCUAUCGUGUUGUUAAUGGCUUUGUAAUCUUUUGCUUACAUAUAUGAGGAUAUGGUGGCAAACAGUUGCUUUAGUGUAACCAUUAUAACAUGUAUCAAUCUUUGUGUUCGGAGUUUAGCAUUUUGACAUUUGAACAAAGCAUUUGAACAAAGUACACGAGAGUAGUUGCUUAAUAAACAUAAGGGCUUUAUGCUAAGAUUUAAAUGUGAAACAAAUGUGAUCACAGAUUAAUCCUACCAGUGGAUGUGAUUCACAAGUUCAUUACAUAGUGCCUAGUCUCACAUUGUCUACUAUCCAGAUGCAAUAUUAAAGAGAGGAAGGACAAACAUAGGGAUUUAUUAAGAAGUCAAUUAGACAAUAUUAGUCAUCGAUUUUUGUCUUAUAAACCACGGUGAAAUACAAAUUAGACAUACAUAAAAUCAAUAUAUUGUUAUACAAAUUGAAAUUCACAUCGUACAAGUGCUUCAACCAAAGACGUGACUCAUAUCACCCCCUCAAUCCGACCUCUUUCCUUUCCCACCAUAGUUGGCAAUUCUUUUCCCUUGCUAACAGUCAUGUGCAAUGAUAUGUCGACACCUCUUUUCUUGCUAAUUCUAGCUAGCCCAUCAAAGAGUCUUGGCAACUCUUCGUCUCCCUUGUUGGGGGCUUGAUUGACCGCAUGAUUAAUGGAACUCGAUUCCCCGCCUAAAGCUUCAUCUUUCACCCAAUCAAAGUACACGCAAUCAUUACUACAGGUAAUGAACAAUCACCCUUUGUUAUCGGAACCCCGUUCGACCUCAAAGCAUUUUCGAUAGCCGUAGUCACAACUAGGCAUCGACAUUUUUAACUAGCAUUGUUCGAAGUAGUGCAUGUUGCUUCUGCAACCAUGACAGAAUCCGAAAUUUCUUCCUCUCCUGGAAAUGAAACAAACUCGUCAAAAAGAUAGGCUCGAAGAUGUAGUUAACUGAUUGAUUAUACAUACAUAAGAUUGAAAAUAUGAUAAAAUAAAAGUUCAUUUUCCAUCGUACAUACGUGAAAUUCGAAUUUAUCCCCAAAGAAAGUAUGAAAUAAAAGUUCAUCUUCCAUCAUACAUACAUGGAAUUCCCUUGCAAAUGCCAGGAGGCUUUUUUUUUUUUUUUUCCCACACAAACUCAAGGGUUCAUUUUCUUUGCCAAGUGAGAACCUUUUUUUUUUCGAUAGCAUAUAUGAAUUUACUAGCUACUGUGCGUGCAAGAGUAACUAUUGUACUAAUUUUGGUUUUCCCAUUACACAAUCUGGUAUUCAAUCUCAAAACCGGUGCAGGACAUUCAUCUUCAUAAAACAACAAGAACACUUCUCAUAAAAAAUGAAUUCAGAACAACCUGUGCAGGAAAUUCCAUCUUCAUUUCCCCAUUAUAACAACCGGUGCAGGAAUUUCAAUCUCCUUAUGGAAAACCGAGUUACCAACAAAGCCAAAAUGGUAGCACCCAUCUUCAUAAACCAACAAGAAGUCUCGUAAUAUAUGGAACUUACUCAAACAAAGAUUAAUCAAAAUCCAAAAUCCAAACUUGUAUUCUGGGAAAACUUUGGAAAUUCAAACAUGGUAAUUAUAAAAAACCAUUAUCCAAUCUGAGAACCCAUGUCCAACAACAACUUAACAAAUACUUACAUUGAUGCCAGGGGAUGGAUGUGUGGCUGAGGUGACUGCGGCGCUGGGGAACUUAUGCUACAGUGCGGCGGUCGAUUGUAGCUUGGGGUACGAGCUUAGGGCACACUGACGGCGAAUCGUUGCUAUGAACAGUGUAAAUGUGAAGGACACGAUGUGGGCUCUUCGUCGACGCCGGCUACGGGUGACGGUGACUGCGACGGCCAACUGGUUGCGGGAGAAGUCGCCCCUCUACCAAUGUCAAUUUGGGGGAAAUGGGGAAACUUGUAUGGUUUUAGUGAGUG
rnacentral:lncRNA from 1 species